rnacentral:rRNA from 1 species
GAUGAACGCUGGCGGCGUGCCUAAUACAUGCCAGUCGAGCGAACAGACGAGGAGCUUGCUCCUCUGACGUUAGCGGCGGACGGGUGAGUAACACGUGGAUAACCUACCUAUAAGACUGGGAUAACUUCGGGAAACCGGAGCUAAUACCGGAUAAUAUAUUGAACCGCAUGGUUCAAUAGUGAAAGACGGUUUUGCCGUCACUUAUAGAUGGAUCCGCGCCGCAUUAGCUAGUUGGUAAGGUAACGGCUUACCAAGGCGACGAUGCGUAGCCGACCUGAGAGGGUGAUCGGCCACACUGGAACUGAGACACGGUCCAGACUCCUACGGGAGGCAGCAGUAGGGAAUCUUCCGCAAUGGGCGAAAGCCUGACGGAGCAACGCCGCGUGAGUGAUGAAGGUCUUCGGAUCGUAAAACUCUGUUAUUAGGGAAGAACAAAUGUGUAAGUAACUAUGCACGUCUUGACGGUACCUAAUCAGAAAGCCACGGCUAACUACGUG